rnacentral:rRNA from 1 species
UAGGGAAUUUUCGUCAAUGGGGGCAACCCUGAACGAGCAAUGCCGCGUGAGCGAAGAAGGUCUUCGGAUCGUAAAGUUCUGUUGAAGGGGAAAAAGAGCGGAGAGAGGAAAUGCUUUCUGAUUGAUAUUACCCUUCGAGGAAGUCACGGCUAACUACGUGCC